UGGGGAAUAUUGCACAAUGGAGGGAACUCUGAUGCAGCGACGCCGCGUGAACGAAGAAGGCUUUCGAGUCGUAAAGUUCUUUUAUAUGGGAAGAUAAUGACGGUACCAUAAGAAAAAGCCCCGGCUAACUACGUGCCAGCAGCCGCGGUAAUACGUAUGUUGCGAGCGUUAUCCGGAAUUAUUGGGCUUAAAGGGCAUCUAGGCGGUAAGACAAGUUGAAGGUGAAAACCUGUGGCUCAACCAUAGGCUUGCCUACAAAACUGUUGAACUAGAGUACUGGGAAGGUGGGUGGAACUACACGAGUAGAGGUGAAAUUCGUAGAUAUGUGUAGGAAUGCCGAUGAUGAAGAUAACUCACUGGACAGAAACUGACGCUGAAGUGCGAAAGCUAGGGGGGCAAACAGG
rnacentral:rRNA from 1 species